rnacentral:rRNA from 1 species
UACGUAGGGUGCAAGCGUUGUCCGGAAUUAUUGGGCGUAAAGAGCUCGUAGGCGGUUUGUCGCGUCUGCUGUGAAAACCCGGGGCUCAACUCCGGGCCUGCAGUCGAUACGGGCAGACUAGAGUUCGGUAGGGGAGACUGGAAUUCCUGGUGUAGCGGUGAAAUGCGCAGAUAUCAGGAGGAACACCGGUGGCGAAGGCGGGUCUCUGGGCCGAAACUGACGCUGAGGAGCGAAAGCGUGGGGAGCGAACAGG